AUUGAACGCUGGCGGCAUGCCUAACACAUGCAAGUCGAGCGCUGUAGCAAUACAGAGCGGCGCACGGGUGAGUAACACGUGGGAACGUGCCCUUUGGUUCGGAAUAACUCAGGGAAACUUGAGCUAAUACCGGAUGAGCCCUAACGGGGAAAGAUUUAUCGCCGAAGGAGCGGCCCGCGUUGGAUUAGCUAGUUGGUGGGGUAAAGACCUACCAAGGCGACGAUCCAUAGCUGGUGUAGAGAACGACCAGCCACACUGGGACUGAGACACGGCCCAGACUCCUACGGGAGGCAGCAGUGGGGAAGUCUUGGACAAUGGGGGAAACCCGUGAUCCAGCCAUGCCGCGUGAGUGAUGAAGG
rnacentral:rRNA from 1 species